rnacentral:pre_miRNA from 1 species
AUGUAGGACAAUCUGUCUUUAAGUAGGGGUAAAUUACUCUAAAAGAAAUGAAUCCUAGAUAGUUUUCCCUUCAAGUCAAGCGUCUUGU